CCACUUGUUGCAGAGUGGCAUUUGGGGGUUCCCUAAAACAAGAAUAAUGACGUAGCCAAAAUUACACUGGUAACCUUGACUUCUGCACCCAGAUCCAGCGAUUCUCGUCACAGUCAGCGAAAGUGAGGUUACCUAGUCGGAGCACACCGUAGCAGUUCAGUAGAUAAAUAUGAAGACAGCAGUCGUUCUAGUCUUGUGCGUUCUUUUGAUUAUUCACCAGAACUCUGUAAAUGCACAGAGGAAUCGUCAAUCGGGUGGUUCGAGAAGAGGAGAUACGGGUGGACCGAGUGGCGUGCGAUUUCCAACCGACGAUGAUGACGAUAGAAGAGUUCGCUAUCCACCCACGAAUGAAAGAGGAACUUCUUCAGGAGGUCUCCAUGCUGGCAAGUGGCCUGGUGGAUUCUACAGUGGUUCUAAAUAUUAAUGCAUGCAAAAAAAGAAGUUUCUGUUGCAUAUUAUUGCUCAAUGGAGAAGCAAAUAAAACUGCACUUGGUUUUUAACGAGUUCGCUGAAGAAGUCCUUAGAGAAGAAAGAAGUUUUAAUGAUAAAGGAAAAAAAGUAAUAAUAGAUUUAUUAUGUAAAUAAAAAUGUAUUUUUGAGCUUUCCAAUGCA